ensembl:snoRNA LOC120098695 small nucleolar RNA SNORA17
CCUGCCCCUAGAGGCACUGCAGGCGUGGCGGUGUCACAUGUGUGUCAGUAAGUGGCAGAGAGGAGCAUGCCUAUGUCUACACUUGAUGUUCUGAUCUGUCAACAUCUGAAAGAUUGAUUGGUAGCCUUAUACU